ensembl:lncRNA
UUGUUUUCUUUGGCAAGCCACUUUCAUGUCACAGCUCUGAGCAGAGACAGAAACCAGUCCCGCACUUAUUUCAGUGACACUCGGCACCCCAGGAAGCUGCCCAUCUGACCCACCCCUUAAUAUGCCAUGGACACUGGUUUGGGUGCUUUUCUCAGGGUAGCUUCUGCUUGCCCCCCGCCCCGCCCCCACCCCCAGCAAUCACUGACUAGGGCCCUGGAGCCAGAGCAGACACUCCUGCCGGUCCUGGCUGUUCUCACAAGGCAAGCUCCUUUACAUUUUCCUUUAGGGACCAUUCUGACCCAUCAGUAGGUGUGAGACUGUGAGUCUUGAAGACAUCUCUGGAGGGAAAUGUCCUGGUAGUGCUGAAGAUCUGGAGGGCCUAGUUGAUUUAGGCUCAGACAUGAGGAAGGCAAAUUCCUUGGGCUAACUUCAGCCGACAGGUCAAGAAUGGAGCCGAAUCCCUGGGGAGUCUGACUUGUGGAUUUGAAUCUCAGCCUGGCUACUGGCUAAUGAAGCGAUCUUAGACAUGUUACUUAACAGUUGUGUGCUUCCAACCAGGCUGAUAGCUGUAGCACCUCUUUCACUGAGCCGUUCAGAACAUGACAGGAGAUUUUGCUCAGUGAAUUGGCUCAGCACUUGGCUCCAGACUUUUAAACUCCUGAUCACCAUGGGCUUUAAAGACUAGAUGAAGUAGUUUGGAUGUGCAAGUGCCAGGAAGGAGGUCUUUGUNNAAGCAAGGCUGCCAGGAGAUAAUGCCUGAGGUUUCCGACUGUAUGAGAGUUCUCGAUUGUUCCCCAGUAUGCAGGGCAGCACGGGGCCAAGGGCAGAGCGGGAAGAGAGGGAGAGGACUGUCCAGCAGCCUCCUUCCUCUAAAAGUGACUGGGCAGAGAAUGGACGUUCACCAGGCUUGAAAAAGUCAUCUCUGGGCCUGCUCUGACCUCAAACCUUGGACUCUUGAAAUGGUUUACCCUUCUAACCAAGAAUGACGCUCCAGCCCACCUAAGCUCUUGGAAAAUGCCCAUGUAAGACUGCUGAGAAGAACCAGGCCAAACCUUCCUUAUCCUUGACACUUGGCUUCAGCAUCACCUCCCCAGGGAGGUCUGGGCAGGGGGGGGCCCUGCACCUGCCCACAUGGCACCUUGCAUGCUCCCAUCAUAAAUUCAUUGCCUUUUGCAAUUUGUUCAACAAAUAUUUGCUGAGUGCCUGCCACACACACAGUUCUUUGUCUAUUGUCUCUCUUCCCACUGGACUCCCUGAGUGAGGUCUCUCCACCACGCCCUGGUCUUCAGAUCUUCUGAACAAUAGCUAUGAAUAUUCAUGUCUAUUGUUCAGUGAAUGACUGAGGCCCUCAGCGCUUUGUGACUCUAAAGUAUAAUCACAGCUAACAUAAAUUCAGUGCGGUCGGUGUUCCAGGAGUGAUGGAAGUGCUAUCUAUUUAUCCAGAGACUCUGUGAAAUAGAGGUUCCCACCCCGCUUGGACAGACGAGGAAGUGGAAGCUCUAGCUCUGGCCCCGCUUGACUCACACAGCUGGUGGUGAGGUCUGUGUGGCUCAGUGUCCCUUCACCUACAGUUUGCACUCGGCUGACCAGCCUUAUGCUACCCAUGCUGGCUGGAGAUACAGCUAUUAUUUCAGAUCCUUGGUUAGGCUUAGAAAAUGAACCCAGCAAACUCUGAGGUUCUGUGUUUUCAAGGUAAGGUUGUGCAGGUAGAUCCUGAGUCAGGCCCGACCUCUCAGGUCAAGGAGGGUCAGAGGUUGUUUACACUAACAUUUGUCAGUCAGCUAAGUCAU